rnacentral:tRNA from 1 species
GGAAGGGUACUCGAAGCGGCCCAACGAGGACCGGUGCGUCCGCGCACCGGUCGGGCUCCGGCCCACGCAGGUUCGAAUCCUGCCCCUUCCGCCG